rnacentral:rRNA from 1 species
AUUGAACGCUGGCGGCAUGCUUUACACAUGCAAGUCGAACGGUAACAGGCCGCAAGGUGCUGACGAGUGGCGAACGGGUGAGUAAUGCAUCGGAACGUGCCCAGUAGUGGGGGAUAGCCCGGCGAAAGCCGGAUUAAUACCGCAUACGACCUACGGGUGAAAGCGGGGGACCGUAAGGCCUCGCGCUAUUGGAGCGGCCGAUGUCAGAUUAGCUAGUUGGUGGGGUAAAGGCCUACCAAGGCGACGAUCUGUAGCUGGUCUGAGAGGACGACCAGCCACACUGGGACUGAGACACGGCCCAGACUCCUACGGGAGGCAGCAGUGGGGAAUUUUGGACAAUGGGGGCAACCCUGAUCCAGCCAUGCCGCGUGCGGGAAGAAGGCCUUCGGGUUGUAAACCGCUUUUGUCGGGGAAGAAACGGUCUGCGCUAAUACCGCGGGCUAAUGACGGUACCCGAAGAAUAAGCACCGGCUAACUACGUGCCAGCCGCCGCCGUAACAC